UCCCUGAUGGUCCAGUGUUUGGGACUUUGCCUUCCAACCCAGCAGGUGCAGGUUCGAUCCCUGGUCAGGGAA
rnacentral:tRNA from 1 species